AGACAGGGAGGACACCAAUACAUACAUACUGACACACAGACAACAGGCUCCGAGUCAGGGUGAGGAGACAGGGAGGACACACCAAUACAUACUGACACACAGACAACAGGCUCCGAGUCAGGGUGAGGAGGCAGGGAGGACACACCAAUACAUACUGACACACAGACAACAGGCUCCGAGUCAGGGUGAGGAGACAGGGAGGACACACCAAUACAUACUGACACACAGACAACAGGCUCCGAGUCAGGAUCACCGACCCGUCUGAGUCGCGAUUCGAGGUGCCAAUCGCCGUGCCCAAGGCCACAGAGAAGGCCUCUAGUCCCGCCUACUCUGUGGAGCUGUCCAAUGAGCCGUUUGGCAUCAUCGUUACGAGAACUUCCACAGGAGCUGUGCUCCUCAACACCACGGUAGCUCCUCUGUUCUACUGUGACCAGUUCCUCCAGCUGUCCAGCAGUCUGUCCAGUCAGUACAUCUAUGGGCUGGGAGAACACCGCUCCUCCUUCCUACACGACAUCCACUGGAACACCCUCACCAUGUGGGCUAGAGAUGUGGCGCCCACGGUAACGACUCCCGUCUCCAGACCACAUAUCAUCCCUUCUACCUGACCAUGACUAUUCUAUAUCCUGUGUCUGUCGGACCUCAUCCC